UCCGACUUACGGCCGUUUUCAAUAACCUAUCUAUCCCUAGUUUCGGUUACUAAAGAUAGACAAAUCUAUAUUUUUGUCCUUACUUACGUUCCAAUAACCUAUCGACGGGCAGCAGUUCCUAUCGGAUUUAUCUAUCCAUCGUCGGGAGGACGGAUAGCCUGCUAAAGAUAGAACGCUCAUACAAAUCGUGCUUACUUCCGUUUCAAUAUGAGUUUUAAGUAACUCUCCGGUAGGCGGCGCUAUCUCUAGUAUGGGCAUUCGCUUAUCUGUCAAAAUCGACCGGUUACAUGUUUAUCUUUCGAAAGUAAAUCGCUAUAAUUUAAUAAUUGUUUCUCUUCAUAUUGGCAUAUUGUAGUAGUGAUGAUAGUGAUAUGGAAUUAUUUCAAAUGAUAAUGGAUUGUGAUGCAGAUAGUGAUAGUGAGGCCGAUAUCAUAUGGUUAGGAAAAUAAAGAUCGUCUGAAUUACAUGGCGAAGAUCAAUAAUUACGAAUUUGACUAUAGAUUACUGAGCAAAGGUGUUGUGAAUGAAUUGAUUAAUUUAAUGAGAUCAUAUUUGAGUGUAACGUCAAAAAGGUAAGAUAAAUUUUAACCAUAAAAGUACUCGUUAUUACAACUUAUAUUUGUUUAUAGCAAUAGCAAAAUUAUACCUAAUUUUUGUUGUGUUACAAAAUCACACUCAACAGGAAUUCUAUAAUACUGCUGGAUUCCCAUGGUGCCCUAAAUGACAUUCAUAUACUAAUACAAUAACCUGGUAGGCUAUUUACCUUCAUUCUUAUUACACACUGAUACCUCUACAUUUUAUAUUUGUGUUACAGAUUUAAAUAUAGGAGAGGAAUUUAGAAAUAGAAAAAGAGUAUUUUGAAUGUGUAAUUUGUGUGCAAUGCAUCAUUGAUGUUUCAAAAUGUUGUUGCUUGAUGGCCUGGGUCUACUCAUGAUACAACUAUAAUUAACCAUUCCGAUUGAAAAGAUGCAUUGGUGUUUGUAAAAGAAGACUCCCUGUAUAUCAUUGAAAAAUAGAUUAAAACUAGAAAAUAUGCAAGCUGUUAUUAUAGCUGCCAUGCUGCAUAAUAUCGUCAGAAGUAUGAAUUUAGAAGAAUUAGAAUCAGAAAUUUCAGUCGCAGAUACAUUACAGGAAAAUAAUAUAAUUGUUCGUAACAAUUUUUCAAAACUUACAUCUGAAAUACAACUAUGUACUUAUAAAUAAUUGCUUCCAAAGAUAAUUUAUAAAAUAAACUCCAAAGAUAA